rnacentral:rRNA from 1 species
GUGGGGGAUAUUGCACAAUGGAGGAAACUCUGAUGCAGCGACGCCGCGUGAGUGAAGAAGUAUUUCGGUAUGUAAAGCUCUAUCAGCAGGGAAGAUAAUGACAGUACCUGACUAAGAAGCCCCGGCUAACUACGUGCCAGCAGCCGCGGUAAUACGUAGGGGGCAAGCGUUAUCCGGAUUUACUGGGUGUAAAGGGAGCGUAGACGGAAUGGCAAGUCUGAAGUGAAAUCCUGCGGCUUAACUGCAGAAUUGCUUUGGAAACUGUCAAUCUGGAGUGUUGGAGAGGUAAGUGGAAUUCCUGGUGUAGCGGUGAAAUGCGUAGAUAUCAGGAAGAACACCGGAGGCGAAGGCGGCUUACUGGACAAUAACUGACGUUGAGGCUCGAAAGCGUGGGAAGCAAACAGGAUUAGAUACCCUGGUAGUCC